UACAGAGGGGGCAAGCGUUGUUCGGAAUUACUGGGCGUAAAGGGCUCGUAGGCGGCCAACUAAGUCGGAUGUGAAAUCCCCAGGCUCAACCUGGGAACUGCAUCCGAUACUGGAUGGCUUGAAUCCGGGAGAGGGAUGCAGAAUUCCAGGUGUAGCGGUGAAAUGCGUAGAUAUCUGGAGGAAUACCGGUGGCGAAGGCGGCAUCCUGGACCGGCAUUGACGCUGAGGAGCGAAAGCUAGGGGAGCAAACGGG
rnacentral:rRNA from 1 species